rnacentral:rRNA from 1 species
UAGGGAAUCUUCCGCAAUGGACGAAAGUCUGACGGAGCAACGCCGCGUGAGUGAUGAAGGUUUUCGGAUCGUAAAGCUCUGUUGUUAGGGAAGAACAAGUACCGUUCGAAUAGGGCGGCACCUUGACGGUACCUAACCAGAAAGACACGGCUAACUACGUGCCAGCAGCCGCGGUAAUACGUAGGUGGCAAGCGUUGUCCGGAAUUAUUGGGCGGAAAGGGCUCGCAGGCGGUUUCUUAAGUCUGAUGUGAAAGCCCCCGGCUCAACCGGGGAGGGGCAGUGGAAACUGGGGAACUUGAGUGCAGAAGAGGAGAGUGGAAUUCCACGUGUAGCGGUGAAAUGCGUAGAGAUGUGGAGGAACACCAGUGGCGAAGGCGACUCUCUGGUCUGUAACUGACGCUGAGGAGCGAAAGCGUGGGGAGCGAACA